AUAGCCGCAGUACACUGACUGUGCUAAGGUAGCAUAAUAAUUUGUCUUUUAAUUAAAGACCGGUAUAAACGGAAAAACGACUAAUCAUCUUUUUUUAAGUAUAUUAUUGAAAUUGAUAUUUGCUUAAAAAAGAGCAACUACUUAAGAAGACGAUAAGACCCCGUGAAACUUUACCUUUAAGUUUAACUAUCAUUUAGUAAAUAAUUAAAUUUUAAGGUUAAGCUGGGGCGGCAAUAAAUCACACCUUUAGAAAAAUAACACUAAUUAAUGAUUAUUUAGAUCUUUGUAAGAGCUAGAACAAGUUACUCCGGGGAUAACAGCACAAUUCUUUCAGAGAGAUCUUAUCAAAGAAAGAGACUUGUGACCUCGAUGUUGAAUUGAAGGGCCAAAUCUAAGCAAAAAUAGAUUUUGGGGGUCUGUUCGACCUUUAAUUCUUCA
rnacentral:rRNA from 1 species